AUGUUUGGGUUGAAAAUCAAAUUUGCCUGUUCCAAAAAUCGAAAAACUUAAUCGAUGUGAUUUUGAAAUUAUAUGUCUUGUUCUGAAAACCGAAUUCAUAUAAUUUUAAAACAAAAAAAUUAUAACGUGUGAUAUAGAGGCGGGGGAAGGAUGGAGGGAGAGUUUUCUGUCAAGAGCAAUCCACCAACUUUAGCUUCAGGAUCCCAGAUCUCAGUAGUAUUUUUCAAGCAAAACUAUACUAAAUCCAACAGCAGAGCGGGUCUCACUAACAGCGCACUCAAUUAGUCAAGGAAUUUCCGACCUCACCAGCAAUAGUAUCAUGAAUUGCUGGAAACUGUAAAACUGAAGAGCUCGCAACAAAGCAAACACAAAAAUAUUUAACAAAAAAAGUUGUACCUAAUUUUAUGGAAAAUAAGAAAGAUUUCGUCUAAGGAUUUUGAAAGGAGACAAAAUGCAGAUACAAACGUCGUGGAGGGAGCUUGCAACUGAACUCAAUAGCCACUGGGAUACUGUAGAAAUAAUUUAACAUGCCUGCCAUCAAUACAAUCAUAGGUCGCUGACCUCUGCUUUUUCUACAAAGUAGUCAAUAACAUCACUGAUGCUCAUGAUAUCCUAAACAGUUUUGAACUCGCCCCUGCUGGUCUUACCCUGAGGCGAAAUAGAUUACUAAAAACAUCG